rnacentral:lncRNA from 1 species
GGCGUGACCCGGCCAACCAACCAAGAUGGCCGCCAUGGCUAAAAAUAGAACAUAGGGGUAAAAUGCAGUUUUUGGCUUAUAACUCAAAAACCAAAGCAUUUAGAGCAAAUCUGACAUGCGGUAAAAGUGUUUAUCAGGUCAAGAUCUACCUGUCCUGAAAUUUUCAGAUGAAUCGGAUAACCUGUUGUUGGGUUGCUGCCCCUGAAUUGGUAAUUUUAAGGAAAUUUUGCUGUUUUUGGUUAUUAUCUUGAAUAUUAUUAUAGAUAGAGAUAAACGGUAAACAGCAUUAAUGUUCAGCAAAGUAAGAUUUACAAAUAAGUCAGCAUGACCAAAAUGGUCAGUUGACCCCUGAAGGAGUUAUUGCCCUUUAUAGUCAAUUUUUAACCAUUUUUUCGUAAAUCUUAGUAAUCUUUUACAAAAAU